rnacentral:rRNA from 1 species
UACAGAGGUCCCGAGCGUUGUUCGGAUUCACUGGGCGUAAAGGGUGCGUAGGUGGUGAGGUAAGUCGGAUGUGAAAUCUCCAGGCUCAACCUGGAAACUGCAUUGGAAACUACCUUGCUGGAGGAUUUGAGGGGGGAUUGGAAUACUUGGUGUAGCAGUGAAAUGCGUAGAUAUCAGGAGGAACACCGGUGGCGAAGGCGGGUCUCUGGGCCACUACUGACGCUGAGAAGCGAAAGCGUGGGGAGCGAACAGG